CCGACAUCUGCCAAACAUUGAUUGGGUUUUGUCUCUCGCCGUCACUUCUUCAGGUCGAUGAUCGCGUACGUGUCCUGGGCGUGAGGAGUCAACCCCUGAGGAGACAGCGACAGACACUCGUCAAGGUCCAUUCCGCGAUUGUGUUGGCCUUCCAGUGGAGGUGCUCGGAACCCGCUGAGAAUGUCUGCGAUAUUUUCAGAGGGCCUUCUUUUUUCGCACACUUCAGCCCGUUUGCACCUUGCGGAGGCCUUCGUGCGGUCAACGCGCUUCCGAUGCCACGCGGUCCUGCGAAACACGUCAAGUCGAUUCAUCAGGAAGUUGGAGUCAAGUCCGUCAAACUGAAGGAAUAGCAAAAGAGUUUCCGGUCAUAGUCUUCAAAUUAAAAUCACGAAACGCUCAAGACGACCUCCGGAGAAAAUGGCAAGACGUCGGUUUCAACCUUCCUGAAACAUAUUUCUAUCAUUAUUAUGAUUAUUAUUACCGUGCCUGCAGUAGAAAGUGCUGAUCAAAUGCACUCUGCAGCAAAGACGUUGUUCUCUUCGUGCAAGCGGCCACUUCCUGUUUUCGAGGUGACGUCAUAUCCUCAUUAACGUCGCAUUCCUCUCCCUCUCUCUCGUUCUUCGGGUAGAAUUUCAGUGGGGACGAUUUUUCGCAACGCGAAUACGCUUGGAAAAUAAUGACGAAUAAACCACUCUCCUUGUGACGUCAUCGAAACCACACCAAUGCCAGGCUGGCACCAAAUGUGCGGCCCGUGCGUCGAAGUGGCUGACGCGAAGGUUUUGGUCCGAAGGUGAUGCGGGAGGGCGGCCGAGGGCGCCCCCUGCCGUCUUCGCGCUGCUCCCGCGUCACGCGGAUUCGGGCGACUGCCUGGUUCUUUUGCUCAUUUCGCACUUUACACCUGUGUGUUUUUCUUUCUUUCUUUUUUUUUUAUUUAAUCCUGACAUAUUUUGGAUUAUAAACAUAGAAACAAUCCAAGAUCACUGUAUUUUGUGAGCCUGAUAGCAUUACGGCUACUUUCUGUCCCCAAAUUCACGUUUAAAAAAAAAUCUCGAUUUUUUUUUUUUGUCGUACAGGUCAUGCUCAUGAGAAAAUUUGAAAGCUUCUCGUUUGUUGAUUUUGUGCGAGCGUGUUCUGAAAACUUGUGACUCGGCUCGGGUCAAAAGAAUUUUUGCUUUUGCCGCUUGUUUGCGUUCGCCUGUUCGAAUCCGCAGCCUCUUUUUUUUUUUUUUAUGCCAGAAGAAGAGUU